rnacentral:rRNA from 1 species
UACGUAGGGUGCGAGCGUUAAUCGGAAUUACUGGGCGUAAAGGGUGCGCAGGCGGUUCUGCAAGUCAGGCGUGAAAGCCCCGGGCUUAACCUGGGAAUGGCCAUGGAAACUGGCGAACUGGAGUGUGGCAGAGGGGGGUGGAAUUCCGCGUGUAGCAGUGAAAUGCGUAGAGAUGCGGAGGAACACCGAUGGCGAAGGCAGCCCCCUGGGCUAGCACUGACGCUCAGGCACGAAAGCGUGGGGAGCAAACAGG